rnacentral:rRNA from 1 species
GAUGAACGCUAGCGGCAGGCUUAAUACAUGCAAGUUGAGGGGCAGCAUGAUAUACGCGAGUAUAUUGAUGGCGACCGGCGGACGGGUGAGUAAUAGGUAGGAGACCUACCUCAUACAGGGGGAUAGCAUAGAGAAAUCUGUGGUAAUACCCCAUGAGGUUAUAUGAAUAGAGGCAUAUAAUCAAAGCAUAAGCGAUUAUGCGGUAUGAGAGGGGCCUACUGACCAUUAGCUAGUUGGUGAGGUAAGGGCUCACCAAGGCGAAGAUGGUUAGGGGUUUUGAGAGAGAGACCCCCCACGAUUGGAACUGAGAGACGGUCCAGACUCCUACGGGAGGCAGCAGUAGGGAAUAUUGGUCAAUGGGCGGAAGCCUGAACCAGCCAUGCCGCGUGCAGGAUGACGGCCCUACGGGUUGUAAACUGCUUUUCCCCGGGGCGAAUAACCCCCUCGCGAGGGGAGUGCCGGUACCGGGGAAUAAGGGAUCGGCUAACUCCGUGCCAGCAGCCG